rnacentral:RNase_P_RNA from 1 species
CAACUGUAGUAAAUGAUCGCGGCUUGCCGGAAUAUUCCGGUGAGGUGAGGAAAGUCCGGGCUUCACAGGGCAGGAUGCCGGAUAACGUCCGGUGGAGGCGACUCCAAGGCCAGUGCAACAGAAAUAUACCGCCUCUGUGCGAAAGCAUAGAGGUAAGGGUGGAAGGGCGGUGUAAGAGACCACCGCCUCCGCGGUAACGCGGAGGGCACAUGUAAACCCCAUCCGAAGCAAGACCAAACAGAGAACCACAGGCUGGCCCGGUCUGUUCUCAGGUAGGUCGCUUGAGGCUGACGGUGACGUCAGUCCUAGAUAGAUGAUCAUUCUCGACAGAACCCGGCUUAUCGCUGCGGUUGCCGA